UCCAGACUCCUACGGGAGGCAGCAGUGGGGAAUAUUGGACAAUGGGGGGAACCCUGAUCCAGCGACGCCGCGUGAGUGAAGAAGUAUUUCGGUAUGUAAAGCUCUAUCAGCAGGGAAGAAAGAAAUGACGGUACCUGACUAAGAAGCCCCGGCUAACUACGUGCCAGCAGCCGCGGUAAUACGUAGGGGGCAAGCGUUAUCCGGAUUUACUGGGUGUAAAGGGAGCGUAGACGGCGAUGCAAGUCAGAUGUGAAAACUCAGGGCUCAACCCUGAGCCUGCAUUUGAAACUGUAUUUCUUGAGCGCUGGAGAGGCAAUCGGAAUUCCGUGUGUAGCGGUGAAAUGCGUAGAUAUACGGAGGAACACCAGUGGCGAAGGCGGAUUGCUGGACAGUAACUGACGCUGAGGCGCGAAAGCGUGGGGAGCAAACAGGAUUAGAUACCCGUGUAGC
rnacentral:rRNA from 1 species